UCAUGUGGCUUAUUGGAAAGAAUCUGACAAGUUGUUGCUAAUUGGCCUGCCUGCUGAAGAAGUUCCUCUUCCUCGUCUAAGGAACAUGAUAGAAAAUGUCAUCCGAACCUUAAAAUUUAUGUAUGGUUCUUUAGAUAGUAUCAUGAAGGAAUUUUCUGUGAUUGUGUCAUCUGGGAAAAUUAUCUAGUUUGCAGUGUUCUCUAGAGGAACUGCUGAGGAGGCACAUCCCUGUCAAACCUGAUUGCUUACCAACAUUUUCCAGAUAAGUGAGCUACAAAGAGCUGGGCAUCCAUAAAUAGUGCUUUUACCUUUUACUAAUAAGGAAAUUUUUAACCAAUGAAGAGUAAGAAUGUGGUUAUGAACUGCCUCUUUAAGUUUACUCAACAGAAGAAAACUUUGCCAUAUUUUGCCCUAAUUGAAGCUUUCUGUUUUCAUACAACCAGAGAUUAUCAAAGAUUAAAUUUUUGCAAUGAUUUUCAUACAUGAAAAUAGUCCAUUGGAGUUGUCCUACAAAUUCCAUUAGACUGGGAACAGAGGGACUUAAUUUCUCUUUCAUCUUGAAAUUUAUCUUCCAUUGAUAGUGGAAGUAUCUUUUUGAUGGCAGCAAAUUUAACUCUUUUCUACUUCAAGUGAGAAUUUAAA
rnacentral:sRNA from 1 species